rnacentral:rRNA from 1 species
UAAGGGCGCACGGUGGAUGCCUUGGCACUAGAAGCCGAUGAAGGACGUUACUAACGACGAUAUGCUUUGGGGAGCUGUAAGUAAGCUUUGAUCCAGAGAUUUCCGAAUGGGGAAACCCAGCAUGAGUUAUGUCAUGUUAUCGAUAUGUGAAUACAUAGCAUAUCAGAAGGCACACCCGGAGAACUGAAACAUCUUAGUACCCGGAGGAAGAGAAAGAAAAUUCGAUUCCCUUAGUAGCGGCGAGCGAAACGGGAAGAGCCCAAACCAACAAGCUUGCUUGUUGGGGUUGUAGGACACUCUAUACGGAGUUACAAAGGACGACAUUAGACGAAUCAUCUGGAAAGAUGAAUCAAAGAAGGUAAUAAUCCUGUAGUCGAAAAUGUUGUCUCUCUUGAGUGGAUCCUGAGUACGACGGAGCACGUGAAAUUCCGUCGGAAUCUGGGAGGACCAUCUCCUAAGGCUAAAUACUCUCUAGUGACCGAUAGUGAACCAGUACCGUG